GAGCUGGGUCCUUCUUGAAAAUGCUGUCAUGACCUGGCUCAUGAGCCGCAACAUAAAUUUGAGCCAGACCACAGAGUGUACAAAAACGGGUUUAUUUCAAUAAAACAAAAAUAGGGGAUAAAAUAGUGAAAAAAAGCUGAGUGUGCAGCAGCAUCAAACGGCCAACAGCUUACUUUUACUUUUCAUGACAUCACAUGUGUUACUGUCCAUAUAUUGCAAAUACAUGUAUAUGUGUCUAAUUAAUAUUUUAAUAUUUGUAUUCAUUUCUAGCAAAAGCAUAUUUGAAAUUGUGUAUAUGUUUGUCAGACAAUCUAUACAACCUACCCAAGAACACAAAACAACAAUAAUAAUUGUAUUAUUAUUGCUUAUAUGCUCAUUUCAGCCAUACUAGAAUGUUAUUGAAAUGCAUGAUGCAUUGUAAAUCAAUAUGCAUGGAUUUGGGGACAUUUUAAAUUGAGUUUAAUAAAAGUAUAACAGAUAUAGAUCCAGGGAUGUUGUUAACAUAAAACUAAUUUCUAACAUCACACUAACUUCAGGAUUGUCGUCAGUCCAUCACACACCUGACAUCAAGCGAAUGGGACAUGAAGCAGUGGCAGUGGUUGAGACAGAGUGUGCAUAACCUUAUACCACCAUUAGGAGGCCAAAAGAAGCAGAAAUAAAUUGCAGUUAAACAUCAAGGUGUAACUUCUGCUCAAUGUAUACGGUAAAUGAUAAAGAAUGCAGCAUUGUGGAAAAAGGCAGUAAAUUGCUGAAUCAUACGAAACUGGGACUGAUGUGUGACCUCAUGGACAGUGAGAUCUGAGCUACAUCUGAAUCUCUUCCCACAAGUAGUACACUGAUACAGCUAUUCCCCGGUAUGGAUCCUCUGGUGUCUCUUGAGAUGAGAAAUUCGAGUAAAAGUCUUUUCACGGUGAGAACAGUGGUGUGGCUUUCCAGUAUGUAUGAACUGAUGUACAGUAAGCACUAUGUUACUCCUGAAAAUAAACUAAAACUCUUCCAACAUGUACUACAAUGGUAUGGCUUUUCUCCAGUAUGGAUCCUCUGGUGUGUAUUGAGUUGAGACAUAUAACUAAAACUCUUUCCACAUUGAGAGCAUGAUGGGGCUUCUCUCCUGUGUAUGUUAGUUGAUGAAUUGCAAGAGCGUAAAGGUGCAGGAAAGGUUUUGAAACACAGGGAGCAUUCAUGUUUUUUCUUCCUCGUGUUCGAUUGCUGAUGUCUUAUGACUUUCUUUCUUCUUUCCCCUGUACUCCUUUUGCUAGAAUCGUUCUUUUGAAUGUCUCUUAUAACAUUAGAAAAUAUUUUUUUAUAAUAAUAUCCUCUCUCUUCUCAAUUUGUUAUAUACAACACUGAAAACAAUGUAUUUUUGAUUGAUUGGCUAUUUGCUAGAAUAGUAUAUUACUUGGAAGACCCUUAGGCUUAAAGUGAACACCUAGAGACUGCACUGUAAAUGUAAGCAGAGAUUCAGGCACAUGAGUUAGAGAUCUGGAGACAAAUUGAUGGCAGGCAUUUUAAAUAUCUUAUAGUUUUUCUUGAUUGUUUUGUUUUUCAAAACACUACACACAAUUAGCACAACCACACACACAAUUAGCCAAACACCUCAGGUCCUUUGCAAAAUGAAACACUCUUGUAAAAACUAUACACUAAUUUAUCAAAACUAUAUUUUGUUACCAUAUUAAACACACAAGUUGCAUAUGACUUCAUUCUGUUUGUACCAGUUACACACUGCUGUUGCAAACCUAAAACACUUUUAGCAAUUCUACUUCUAAGUUAUUAGAGUAGUGUAAGUGAAGUACACUAUUCACCAAACACUACACAAGACCAAUGCUGCAGACUGAUGAAAAUAUAAUUAAUUUCUCUCCAUAUACCCAAAUCAGUCAUCAUGGUUACAUAGAGAAUCACAACAAAACAUGUCCCACUUUUCAUGCUACUACAGUAGUGUGCGAAACACUGUAAGCUCAGCAAAUAUCAGACAAGCGUAAAAUUCUGUAUCCAGUACAGGUUACAAUUACAGUAAAAAAAAGAGGAAAGAAAAUCUGAAAAUACAGUACAGAUAGAAGUUGUUUCAUUUGAACCUGAUGUCUUUUCAGGAUGCUUGCCAGUGUUGACUGAGAGACCUGAUGGACAUUAGUGAAAAUGGCAUGGUUACCGAUAAUGUUGGCUUGAAUUUCUCUGAGCCUGAUAGCAUGCUUGGCCAAAACCAUAUUUAUGAUCUCUCUCUCUCUUGUUCUUUCGUGGAUAUGGCCCCCUUCCUCCUUUCAAAUUAAGUUGAUAAAUUUGGUCCUCUUCUUCUUUGAGCACGUUACCCUCCUGCUUCAGGUCUUCCUCUUCCUCUACCUCCACCUCGGCCUAGGCAUCUGGCAAAUCUGGGCCGAUGUUUUGCUCCUUGACUGUAAGGUUUUGAUACUUGUGUAAUAUUUUAGAUUUUAGUGUUUAUGCAACUGACUGUAACAGUGUGAAGAGUUUGAAAAGAUGAGCGGUAGAGGAAAAGGAGGUAAAGGUCAGGGAGGCGCCAACCGCCAUCGCAAGGUUCUUCGUGAUUACAUCCAGGGCAUCACCAAGCCCGCUAUCCACCAAGCCCAUUAAACCCCCACUCAACCCAAAGGCUCUUUUAAGAGCCACUCAAGUUUCCGCUGAAAAGUUAAUUCCUCCUCAGCUGGAGCUUUAAUUUUUCCCCUCAUUUAAAUGUCCUUUAUACCAAGUUGUAUUGGUCAUUCACCAGCAGGGGGCCAUGCCAGUUCCCUUUGAAGGGACCACUCUCAGGCCUAGUGCCAUCUUUCUCCAACCAGGUGCAGUCUCGUAUUGGCCUGUUACCAGAAUACGAUGUCUAGUGGUUUUAAAGUGUUUGUAAUUGUUAUUCAAAGACUUGUUUUUGAUGUAUUGACUGAUACAAUUGGACUUGUAUCAGAGUAUUGCUUAUCAUCUACAGUUCCAGCCAUAAUCACUAUUAUUGAGCUUCAGUCAAGCAUACUGAUACUGAAAAGCUAACUACACUAUGAUACCAAUCUGGACUGAACAAAAGUAAGUACAAAAUAGUGGUCCAUUUAACCGUUGACUUGGAAUGAAAUGAAACCGUUGUCCUCAUUUGUAUGCAUUCUGCUGAUUGCUGUAGAUCAAAGACUCCUCCUCAGACCAGGGAGCAACCAAUAGCACAGUUUACACAUUUUCCUAAUUUUCUGAAGAGAUUCAUUUGAAUUUGUCAUCUGGAGAUAAUCUGCAGUUGUUUCAUAAAGUGCAGCACUGUGUACAAUAGCACAUGAAGGAUAUCACUGACUGGACAGUUUUGGAGAUUGAUUUGUCAAAUUAUGCAAGAAAUGUUUAAACAAUUGAGAAUACAAGGCAUAUUCACCUAAAAAAAGUGUAGCUACCUCACUUUAUGUUUUCCAUGCCAAGUUCCCAAUCACUGGAUAUAUGUUAUGUGUAUAUAGGCCAUCAACUCAGAAUAAACUAUAGAUCAUAUUUACGGCAUAUGAACAUACUGCAUACAAAAAGUGUUCUAACAAUUAGCAUGUCAUGUUCUCCAUAUUAAGUUCCCAUCACUAGAACUGUGUGGUGGGAAUACAGGACAUCGGCUCAGUAUGUACCUCAUGCAUCACAUUCCCACCACGCAGUACAUACUAAUUUCCCAAAAAGUGCACCAACAGUGAGAACGUACUUACCGGGCAUCAGUAGUAGUGAGAACGGAAAAGUUCACUGUGGCGUACUCCACAUCAUCUUCGAUCGCACAGCCUUGCGGCGUCCCAUCCUGUGUUGUGCUGUGGGUAAACCAAACAGUGGCGUACUGGACGUCAUCGCCAUCUCCUGCGUCUGCGCCAGAGGCUGUGCCAGGGGCUGUGGGCAUUGCUGAAAUGUUGCAGUAAAUGGGACCGG
ensembl:lncRNA